AUUGAACGCUGGCGGCAUGCCUUACACAUGCAAGUCGAACGGCAGCACGGGUGCUUGCACCUGGUGGCGAGUGGCGAACGGGUGAGUAAUACAUCGGAACAUGUCCUGUAGUGGGGGAUAGCCGGGCGAAAGCGGGAUUAAUACAGCAUACGAUCUACGGAUGAAAGCGGGGGACCUUCGGGCCUGGCGCUAUAGGGUUGGCCGAUAGCUGAUUAGCUAGUUGGUGGGGUAAAGGCCUAACAAGGCGACGAUCAGUAGCUGGUCUGAGAGGACGACCAGCCACACUGGAACUGAGACACGGCCCAGACUCCUACGGGAGGCAGCAGUGGGGAAUUUUGGACAAUGGGCGAAAGCCUGAUCCAGCAAUGCCGCGUGUGUGAAGAAGGCCUUCGGGUUGUAAAGCACUUUUGUCCGGAAAGAAAUCCUUGGCUCUAAUACAGUCGGGGGAUGACGGUACCGGAAGAAUAAGCACCGGCUAACUACGUG
rnacentral:rRNA from 1 species